UCCACGCCCUAAACGAUGAGGAAGGUGAGGACGACGUCAAGUCAUCAUGGCCCUUAUGGCUAGGGCUACACACGUGCUACAAUGGGGCGUACAGAGAGUUGCGAUACCGCGAGGUGGAGCCAAUCUCAUAAAGCGUCUCUCAGUUCGGAUAGCAGUCUGCAACUCGACUGCUUGAAGCUGGAAUCACUAGUAAUCGUAGAUCAGCAAUGCUACGGUGAAUACGUUCCCGGGUCUUGUACUCACCGCCCGUCACACCAUGGGAGUUGAUUUCACCCGAAAUCGGGAAGCCAACCUUCGGGGGGCUACCGCUUACGGUGGAAUUAGCGACUGGGGUGAAGUCGUAAC
rnacentral:rRNA from 1 species